rnacentral:antisense_RNA from 1 species
UGUGGGAGCUGGCUUGCCAGCGAUAGCGGUAUGUCAGUGAAGAAAAUGUCGACUGAUACGACGCUAUCGCUGGCAAGCCAGCUCCCACA